rnacentral:rRNA from 1 species
CAAUAGCGUAUAUUAAAGUUGUUGCGGUUAAAAAGCUCGUAGUUGGAUUUCUGCUGAGAACGACCGGUCCGCCCUUUGGGUGUGUAUCUGGCUCUUUCUUGGCAUCUUCUUGGUGAACGUUGCUGCACUUGACUGUGUGGAGCGCUACCCAGGACUUUUACUUUGAGGAAAUUAGAGUGUUUCAAGCAGGCAUACGCCUUGAAUACAUUAGCAUGGAAUAAUAAGAUAGGACCUCGGUUCUAUUUUGUUGGUUUCUAGAGCUGAGGUAAUGAUUAAUAGGGAUAGUUGGGGGCAUUCGUAUUUAACUGUCAGAGGUGAAAUUCUUGGAUUUACGCAAGACAAACAGCUGCGAAAGCGUCUGCCAAGGAUGUUUUCAUUA